CACCACUGUGGGACCUCUGCUUUUUGCUGACCAGUACUUGCAGUUGUCCACCACACUAGCCUCUUCCCUUGUGUCUGGCCUUGGGGAACAUUACACCUGCCUCCUCCUAGACCUUAACUGGACUUCUCUUACUCUCUGGAACAGAGACAUGGCACCUCAUGCUCAUGCUAACCUAUAUGGCUCCCACCCAUUCUACAUUGUACAGGAGGCUGAUGGAUUAGCACAUGGAUUUUUCCUUCUCAACAGCAAUGCAAUUGGUGACGCUUCAGCCGACUCCUGCUCUCACCUGGGUGUCAACUGGAAGAAUUCUGGAC